rnacentral:rRNA from 1 species
UACGUAGGGUGCAGGCGUUAAUCGGAAUUACUGGGCGUAAAGCGUGCGCAGGCGGUUUUGUAAGUCUGUCGUGAAAUCCCCGGGCUCAACCUGGGAAUGGCGAUGGAGACUGCAAGGCUAGAGUUUGGCAGAGGGGGGUAGAAUUCCACGUGUAGCAGUGAAAUGCGUAGAUAUGUGGAGGAACACCGAUGGCGAAGGCAGCCCCCUGGGUCAAAACUGACGCUCAUGCACGAAAGCGUGGGGAGCAAACAGG